UAGAGCCUAUGGCAGAGGGCUUGCGGACGCGGGUUCGAUUCCCGCCGCCUCCACCA
rnacentral:tmRNA from 1 species